rnacentral:rRNA from 1 species
AUUGAACGCUAGCGGCAGGCCUCACACAUGCAAGUCGAACGAGUGGCGGACGGGUGAGUAAUGUCUGGGAAACUGCCUCAUGGAGGGGGAUAACUACUGGAAACGGUAGCUAAUAACGCAUACCAUCAGAUGUGCCCAUAUGGGAUUAGCUAGUUGGUGGGGUAACGGCUCACCAAGGCGACGAUCCCUAGCUGGUCUGAGAGGAUGACCAGCUACACUGGAACUGGGACACGGUCCAGACUCCUACGGGAGGCAGCAGUGGGGAAUAUUGGACAAUGGGGGCAAGCCUGAUGCAGCCAUGCCGCGUGUAUGAAGAAGGCCUGCGGGUUGUAAAGUACUUUCAGCGGGGAGGCGUUACCCGCAGAAGAAGCACCGGCUAACUCCGUGCCAGCAGCCGCGGUAAUUC